GAAGUGUAAAUAUGAAUAUACUUAUUUACACUCUACAAACUUCUUUGUAGAAACAUGAACAUGAUCUUGAACUUGGGUCUUCUUUUUCCCUAGGUUUAAACUAUGGUUUUUGAAAUGCGGCUGUGUGAAAGUGACACUGACUUACUCAGACCCUGUAGUGUAUUCAUUGUUCACUACUGACUAAAACUAGUUUUUGCUCCUCCUUUUUUCUAAACUAAAAUUACAAACCUCAUUUAAUACUCUUAAUAUUCAGUGAAAGUAAAAGCCAGGACUUCUGGACUGUCCUUCAGCACGACUGUAAUAGGCUUAUAGAAGGCAGAAUGCAGCUGUUUGUCUUGCUAUUAACAGUGAGAAUUGUGGUAUUUUUGGAAAUGGCACCAAUUACAUAAGGGAUGAUCCAUAUGUUGUAGGUAAUUUAGCAUAUUCACUACUUGUGACAAAGAAUGUCUGUUUUAUUUAGCUGGUGUCUAUGUUGCAUAUUAUCAUGUAAUUCAUCACAGAUGCUGUGUUGCCCAUUUCAUUGUCCUUUAAGCAUUUGUUGCAUUUACAGUGAGUUUCCUCAUUGUAUUUGAGUUGCAGGAGGAAAUUAGAAUCACUUUAAAGCACUGGGCUAAUUACUCUUAGUGUUUUAAAGACCACCCAUCCAACUUUACCACUGGGAAUUCAAAAAUAUAAACUAGCAGUAAGCUUGUUUGUAUUCAGCAUUUAAACUUGCCAAGAACAGUGUUUGUUACUGUCAUAUGCAACAGACACCUUUUGGUGGUUUUUUUGUUUGUUCUUUUUUUUAAACAAAAAGAAACCAAUCAAACUUGGGGUCAGAGUACACCUAUCAGCAAAUCUCUGACAACUAACACUUAAGGAAGUCGUCCUAGGAAAGCGCAUUCUGGAUGCACUUUCAUUUUUCCUUGAAAAUUAAGUAGUCAUGUUCAUUAUCUCUGGCUUCUAUGAGCUUGAGAUGUGCUAUACUGAAAAUUAACAUGGGAUGGACAAGAUUGUACUUCAAACUCCAGGUUUCUUGGUUUCUUAUUUAAUGAGGUAUCUGCUUCUGUUAAAUCUGGUUUAUUUGCUGUUCUGUUUUGCAAACAAGGAUUUGAAAACCCUUUAAGGGUACAUAAAGUCAAAACAAGUGACAGGCAACAUUUUGACACAGCACUUAGCCACAGGCUGCAUCAAUUCUAAUACAGCUCUUUUGGCUGUAUUUUCCCUUGCGCUAUAGAAGCGCACAGCAUUGGAGUAACUGUCCACUUAAACCUCCUUUGCCAUAGCUGACUGCUAGCAGAAGUCCAUAUUUAAUGCCACUUCUGUAUAGAGUAAAACAGAUUUAGCAAGAGUUACGUUUUCUGGUUAUAUUUGUUAUUAUGUGGCUCUGGUAAGAGCUCAGUAUCUUUUCUAAUGCUGUGUGCAGCUGAUGUUCCUAUAUUUCAUUAGUUACAAUGUACUGAAUUAGCGUGGAAAAGGGAUAUCCCUUUCCUGAAUCAUCAUUUCAUAGUGUGCUUUAUGCUUUGGGGAAAGAACCUCAAGUGACUCAUACUUUUGUUAAUAUUUUAGAUUUUUACAAAUUGCAAACUUUAUACAACUCUCUUGGCUGUUAGCCAAUGGCUUUGUUUGCUUGAAUCUAGUGUACAGUCUGUUUGCUGGCGCUGUGGCGUGAAUCUCAAGGCUACCUCAAUCUAUUGCAAGGUAUAGACUUCUGUGGUUUAGACAGUGAUGUCACCCUUGCACGGAUCGCAGAGGGGAGAUGAGAGGUAUAGGCAACACAGACAAAUAGGUCUUAAACCUUUUUAAAGAAGGAUGAGUUCUCAGUUAGAUAUCUCUUCUUGCCAAUGGUCAUUGAAGGUAUUUUGGAGGCAGCCUCCUAUGGAGGGCAGAGAAUAGAGAACACAAGUUCCUUGCGUAGCUUAAGGAACCAUCUAGUGGAUGUUAGCUGUGGUGUGUAGGGCCUUGAGUAUUAGUGGGGAAUAGAGAACAAAAUGGUGGGGUGAGAGUCUAAAGACUUCUGAGGUUUUGCUUGAAGGCUUCUGGGGACAUCCUUUCCCAGUUCAGUGUUGACAGCAGUGCUUAUCGGGAGCCUGCUAAGAGCCUACUAUGAAAAGAUACCAGACUUGAAGAAAUUGUUGCCGUGUAACUAGAGGAUUUGGGAUUCUUUCCCCCUGCCUCCCAUUCUUAAUGACUUUCUACAAGUAAAAACCAAGGACAGCUACUCCAAUGAAUCAUUAAACUUGACAUAAAAGUAGUCUUUGUAUGAGACUUAAGCAAAGCAAACCAUAUUAUUUUGAAAAUGUUAAAUGAAUUUAAUUUCAUGUAGUUCUAAUUGUAUGAAAAUGGUGGAGUAGAAAUACUACUUGAAUAGUAACAUCUUAAGUUUUGUUUAUUAAUGCAUCCUUGAGUUGACCUCUUUGCUACAGUGCAUCCUGCUGUUGGAAUUAUACAGCAAAAUGAGAAGAUAUCAACAUGUAACACUACAUUUCAUGUUUUUAUUGAGAAGUUGCAUUCAGGAAAUGUCCUUUGAGGAAAAUCAAGUGAAUUAUAAACCAUUCAGUUGAUUUUCCUCAUGGCUGAUUUUUGACGUGUUCUGUUAGCUGUUAGAAACCUGUUGAAUAUCUUCAGUCCUGUAUAUCUUCAAUCCUGUAAACCUAGUUUAACAGCAGUCCAAAAAAACCUGCACUACUUGUUAUGCAUUUAUAUACAGAAAGUGACUUCAUUUCAAGGUUUUGUGCCGGUGGGUGGUAUUGGUGCUUUUCGAAGUCCAAGUAGAAUACUUAGAAAGGCCUUGUUGUUCUUUAUGUUCAUCUGUAUAGUGUGGGGAGGGGAAAACCUGUUGUUGUUUCAGUACAAAUGUUUACCUUUUCUUUCCUCCUGCAAGCAAAGCUGGUGGACUGCGGAAGAUAACAUGGGAUUCCAAGCUCUAAUGGACCUUUGCGAAGAGAAGUUGUGGCUCAUGUGGAAUUUACAUGGGCCUCUUGAUGGAAGAAAGCUUAUCUGUUUAGUAUUUGUGCAUUUUACUAAAAUGGCAGCUUAAAAAAAAAGUUGUGUAUCUGCUAUUGUGAUGCCAAUGCCCGUGUUUUAAAGUGGAAAAAUGACCUCUUUGCUUUGUGCUGUGUACACAAGAUUUCUGGAAAAGUAAAGGAAUACCCUUUUUAUGGCUCACACAGCUUAAAAGUAGCUGUCACUCAAACAUGCGCUCACAGUUGAGCUGAUUUUGUUUCAUUCUAAAUAAAUUGUUUCUUUUGAGGAAAAUGUUUUUCUGCCUGGAAGUGAAUUGACGACAAACCUUUGACCCCUUUGUUUGCAGCUAAGGGGUACUUGCUGCUGCUGCUCAGUUGUUGAUCUGAUAGUUGUGGGUCUUGAGCAAGAAGCAGGGAGACCAUCACUUUCAUAUUGACCAUCCUGUUGUAUCAGAUCUGAAGAAUCUAGUUCAUUGUGUUGCUGUGGCACCUCCCUUUGAUUGCAAUGAAGGGGGUCAUUUGCUGCUAACUCCUCAUCUUUACGAGGAAACGGUGCUGAUGCGGGCGUGCAAGAAACAGGGAAAACACCAUAAAAGCCUCAGAACAGUGUGCAAGUCUGGGGCUUCGCUGGUUUGAAGAGCUGGAGUUCCUGAAUUUUAAGUUUCUGAUUUAUUUUGUUCACCCAACUUGUUUGGCUUUAGUUCUGAUUUUUUUUUAAUUUGAAGAAAAAGUUUGAAAUUGCUUUGAAUCAUGCACGUAAACCUUUGCACCAAAUUGCCAAAAGAAAAGAAAAAUGAGUCUCAUUAAAAAGUGUUAAAUGAUGUUAAUAAAACCUUUCUGACACACUUUGAGGAGCUCCUCCAUCUCCAGGGGCUUUUCACCAGAGUUAUGCAGUGAUGGGUUUAGUUCUGAAUGGAUGAAGAAUUCCAGAGAGCUAGUUUGUAAUUAAAACGUUUGCAUUGGUAUCAGUGCCUUAUUUUGGCCAGUUUUGAAGCAAAUGUUCCACACGCCUCGGAUGUGCAUGCACCCUGAUCGUUUCAUAGGUACAACUGCACAUUUGCUUGCAGUCACCUCAGUUUGUAGUACAGAUUGUGAGAGGAAAAUAUGGAGGCACCUUUGAAAAAAUUGUAUGCUGUAGUUCCUGCAUUAUCCUGUACGGGGGCUCCUGAGCUUUGGAAGGCUGUUCCAGUACAGGAGUACAACUCCAUGUUUGCUGCAGGAGACUUCGGGGCAUUUGACCACACCAGAGCUCAAGAGGAAGCUAACACUGCUGCAUCGUUGGCUUCAGAAACCUCUCGUGUUAUGUUUGCCAGUCUUUGUUAGAAUUAACUAGUCGCUGUCUGACAUGCAGAUGAAGACACCUUGAGAUGCGAGCUUGCUCUGGUUACCUUGAAACCGUAAUCUACUGUGGAUAAAGAACCCUGGUCCUGUCCUUCAUCCAUGCAGGAUGAUUGCUAGGCAACAGGUGCAUAUCAACAAAGGAUGCCACGAUUUUGUUCUGCAAGGUGUCCGUUCCCGUGGCAAACAGCUGUAUAAAUCUCUUAUAAACAGGAUUGUUCAGCCCCUUUGGAUUGGUUAGAGGGAUGCCUUAACGUGCCAGGUUUCCACAGAUAUGGAAGCAGGAACUGAAAGCCCGCAACUGAGAGACGGAGUACUAACAAAUUUACAGUAAUUUCUGCUUUUGUGGAAACAGGUACUGGGUCUUCAGAUAUAUACGGUAAGGAUUUAAAAUAUUGUAAACUCUUAUUUUAACUUUUAUUUUUUGCAAAUUUGACCCCUUUUUCUACAGAAACAAUUGAAAAAGCCACCAAGAUGAGUGAUAUUUUUUUUUAAUUGUUCAUGGUGAACAGCCAUAAGGUUUUAGAUUUGUUACUGCAUUUUUAUCAAAAAUCAGAGCAGUCGCAGUAAAUAUUUUUAGUAAAAGUCAAGGAUUUUGUGCUGAUUGAUUUAAAAAAUGCUGUGACAAAUGAAAUUCAGCUGUACCUUGCUAAAAUCAUAGGCCAGCAUCCUUCUCUGCUGCUUCCUCCUUGCCCUGACCAUCCACAUUAGCACCCACCAUCUGCCCUGGCACUAUAACACUAAUCCUGCCUGGUGAAGGGGCAUGGCCUGAGUGGCAGG